GGUUAUGGGCUAUAGGGUGGUCAAACGAAAGGUUUAGGCUCAAAGUGGGCGACUAGGGGAUUUAUUUGGGUAAGGAUGGACAAAUGGUUUUAAAAGAAAAGGUUUACCUAAUGCCUUAAUCAUUCUCGUGCUUGUAUUCGGUCUAUGGUCUCAAACGUAUCAAAAGUUGCAAGUUCUACAAUAUAUGACUAAUGGUCCACUCAAACAAAGAAACAUAGGUAUGUAAUCUAUGAUAUAAAAGUGGCUCAAAAUCUCACAUAUCUAAAAGGGUAUGGUAUGUGACAUGCAUAAAAUACUAGUUUCUUAGGCGGAUUAUUCCCAAAUAACCACCCGCUAAAUACCCGUAAUGCUAUUAAUUUGAACUUGACCAUGACAAAAGACCAAAUGGGUUGUGACAUCCCUCGUUGACUUUAGUUACUUGUGCUUUUAAGAUCGCUUUUGAAACAAGAUAUUUUUGAAUUUUUUUUGAAAUUUUCCCCCAUCCCCACACUUGAGGUAAACAUUGUCCUCAAUGUGUAGUGUUUAAAUGAACGGGUCAAAAAUCUAAAACUUUUACUACUCUCCUAUCCCCACACUUGAGGUGAACAUUGUCCUCAAUGUGUAGGAACUAGAGUUUUUAAAGCACACAAGGGACGUGACACGACUAACUUCCCCAAAAUUUCACCCCGAAAAAAUAAUAUACAAUUUACAAUCCACUUAUUUGCUAACUAAAAAUCAAAAGUAAAAAGAAACGUAUGCACCUGAUUUUUGAGCUCAUUCCUCGUGUUCUCUUCUUCUCUUCAUGAGAGCGGUUGUCCCACGAACCCAAUGUACCUACAAAUCUUAACCCUUGUUUCUACCAAUUUUAUGAAAAUAUUACCAAGCCAUACGUUAUUUCACUUUGAUUUAUGUGGAAAAUAA
rnacentral:lncRNA from 1 species